rnacentral:snoRNA from 1 species
CUGUGAUGGAAAUUAUAACUUAUAUCUGUAGUGUGAUGAAAUCAGAGGCUGUUUCUGAGUCA